GCUUUGCUCUCACCAACCACAUUC
rnacentral:siRNA from 1 species